CCUAAGGGAUCCGCCCCCUCCGAGCAUCCGCCGCCCCUCGGAGACCACUCCAGCUCGGACGGACCCACUCCAGCCCCCGCUGCACGCGGAAGCGCUCAUCCUCCCCGCCUGCCCCGUUCCCUCCCCCUUCUCCUGUGGGACAACCAGGGACCGCAGCUCCCCGCUCCCCAGGUGUGGGGGCUCCGACACGAACGCCUCUGCUCGCAGGGCGGUGAGCGCAGAUCCCACGGGUCCCUCGGUCGGGGGUCGAGGCUGCUUCCGUUUCCAUCCCGGACCCGACAAUGGGCGGGAAAAAGAAGGCUUUACACGACUACGCGGCGGAGUUCACCGACCUGGUGGUGAAGCACCUGAUUGAGCACAGUGACUCUGGGGACACGUCUGUGGUGGAGACCCUUUACUGCAGGGCCUGCGAGCUGCCCGUGCGCGUGCGGAGGGACCGCAUCCUGGAACACCUGUCCUCGGGCAGGCAGCACGGCCUGCGGACGCCCAUUCUCAUGUAAAUGUCAGUGCCAACGCUGGUGUUUCAGGAGUCAUCCCAGCGGGCUGCGGGCUAUUUUAGGAUUCUCUGCCCUGCAAACGUUUCCAAACUCAGCCGCCUCGGAUCUCGCUGCCACCAGCCUUACUGCACACCCGUGCCACCCGCCCUUGCCCCGUCAGCCUCAGCCUCAGCUCAUUCUCUCAGGCAGUCCCAGCAUUGGCACGGUACCUCCUCCCGCUGUGGGCCACACGUCUCUGCUCCCUGUCAACCCUCCUGCCAUCAGCACCACCACCAGCGACUUGUCUGCCCGGGAGGAUGCAACACCAUCUGCCUCCACCGGCCACCUUUCAGUGUUUCCUGCUUUCCAAGUAAAGAUACCAGCAGUGCCCUCAGAGCAGACCAGCCAGAGUUUUUCUGAAGCCUCCCACAGGGUGCUCCCCGGAGGAGGCCCGAGAUGCUCUCGUGACUUUGGAGCCGGGGUGGCUGGCCACCUUGGCCUGGGCAUCUUUGGGGUGGGCUUCGGGAGCCCGGCACUGCUGCAGAGUGUGGUGGAUGAGAACAGCUGCUGCUUGCUGUACGUGGUGGAGGACCAGCUGUGUGAUGUGGAGCAAGCCUUCAGAGCUGAGCAUUUGGGCCAACACCAGAGUGGUUCGGGAACAGGAUGCAGACAUUGUCCUCAACGACCAGCGGCACUUUGAUCCGGUUUUCCAGUUCUUGCACAAGCAAGUUUGUGUCAGCCACGCCCUGGGGAGGAUCCACUGGAUCACCGCCGUCACUGCCUGUUCCCGGCGGCCUCUCCGGCUUCCCUAAAGAGAGCAGUAGCUUCCCUCGAGACCAGAAGCCAGAGCUCACCCUCCCUUGUGUCCAGGUGGGACUUUCUACAACGCUGCUGUGCACGACGUGGAUGCCGUAUGCAUGUUGCUGGGGGAAGCCACUCCGGACACUGUGUUUUCUCUGGGACAUGUCUUCUGCCCAGAUAUGGCCGCCUUAAAAGAUGCAGAUGCUGUUGUGAUCAGCAUGAAGUUUCCCUGUGAGGCCGUGGUUAGCGUGGACAUCAGCCAGCACUGCACAGACAGCUGCGACCAGGACGUCAGCCAGCACUGCACAGACAGCUGCGACCAGAGACUGGAGGGAAAUAACCUCCUGAAAUCACCAAAGAGCAGUUCCUCAGGGCCUUCCGGGUGACCGUGGCCGUGGAGCAGUCGUGGUGAAACCGGUCAGCUGUGGACCUGCCCUGCGAAUCGGCAGAGGCCUCCGUGGUGAAGACAGAAGCUCCGUGAACCAACUCGAGGCUGGAGCCAAGAUCCUGCCUGAUAUCCAGUUGCCUGUUUCACUUGUUACUGUUACUGGGAGAGGGAGACAAAACCUCAUGGCAAUCUUGUCCUCACUGGAGACUCAGAAGGGGAAGCAUUGGGAAACCAUGUAUGUUUCAUUUCUGGUUUAACCAGGCUUUUCAGGAUGGGACUUCAGACCAAGGACACAAGUUGGGCUUGCUUAGGUGUUUUGUGUUGUGCGCAGGCCUCAGAGAUGCUCUUCCGGUCAGAGUUCCCUUGGCAGGGCCUUGGAGGCCUCUGGUUGGCUCUCUCAGGAAGAGGGCAGGUCAGGGAUUGGGCGGUGUAAAUUGACUCAGAAACCUGCGGUUUCAGCUUUUCUGUGGCAAACAGGGCCGAGGGCUGGUGAAGCUGUUAAGGCUAAAUGUCGCAUGCAUGAGGCGGGCUGCAGGCCUCCUUAGGCCUUUUUUGGGGUAAUUACACCAGUAUUUAAAAACAUUUUUUUUUGUUUGUUUUGAGAUGGAGUCUUGCCCUGUCACCCAGGCUGGAGUGCAAUGGUGCGAUCUCGGCUCACUGCAACCUCCGUCUCCCAGGUUCAAGCGAUUCUUCUGCCUCAGCCUUCUGAGUAGCUGGGAUUACACGCGUGUGCCACCACGCUCGGCUAAUUUUUGUAUUUUUAGUAGAGAUGGGAUUUCACCAUGUUGGCCAGGCUGGUCUCGAACUACUGACCUCGUGAUCCACCUGCCAUGGCCUCCCAAAGUGCUGGGAUUACAGGCGUGA
ensembl:lncRNA GFOD3P Gfo/Idh/MocA-like oxidoreductase domain containing 3, pseudogene